rnacentral:rRNA from 1 species
AUGAGAAAAUACAACUUCCCAUGCGCUAUUUUAUCUGACAGGGUUGGAAACUCACUUAAGCACCUUUCACUUCGUUUUUGUGACCUCCAUCCCACAGUUGAACUUGGCCCCUUGAGAAGCCUGACAAGGCUGUACCUCUGCUGUGUGAGCAUUACGUGGAAUGAGUUAGAGUGCCUUCUUUCCAACUCUCCUGCUUUGGAGCUAUUAGAUCUUACUAGUUGCGCUGAGAUUAGGUCUCUGAAGUUAUCUUGUGCCCUGCAGCGCCUCAUUGUGCUUAGUGUUUUAGAAUGCGAGAGAUUGACAGUGAUAGAGAGCAAAGCACCAAAUCUCUCUAGUCUUUACCUUAGAGGAAGCAGGUUAGACUUCUCACUUGUGGAAACAUUGCAAAUGAAGGAAUUAUACUUGCAACAAGACAACCUUAUCCGUGAUGCCUGUGCCAAGCUGCCACCCAUUCUGCCAAAUAUUGAAACUCUUGUCAUAGAAUCACCGUGGGAGGUGGUCGAUGCACCAAUGCUGCCUACCAAAUUCCUCUACCUUAAGCACCUGAACGUUAAUUUGAGAACAGGAACAACCGAGUACCGGCCAUAUGACUAUUUUUCUCUGGUUUCUUUCCUGGAUGCUUCUCCUUCCUUGGAGACUUUGAAAUUAGAUGUGACUCAGUUGCGUAUGUUGCACAAGUCAAUUUUUGCUGAUUCUCAACUGAGGCACAUGCCUGAACACCGCCAUAGCUGCCUCAAGAGCGUGAAGAUCAGUGGUUUCAGCUCUGCGAAGUGCUUGAUUGAACUGACAUGUUAUAUUCUCAAGAACGCGGUGUCACUUGAGUGUCUUACAUUGGACACCAUUUAUGGGCAUAGGUGUUAUGAUGACGGCAAGUACGAUUGGUGUAUGCCCAUGGGUGUUGGUAUUCUCAUGGAAACCCCCAGGGCACUCUCGGCUAUCAGAACAUACAUUGAGAAUAAAGUUCCAUCUACAGUUAAGUUAACUGUUAUGGAGCCUUGCAGCCCAUGCCAUGCUAAAGCAUUACGGCGGGCAUUAUCACAGUCGUGCAAUGCCGUUUCCAUUUGA